UGGGGAAUUUUGACAAUGGGCGAAAGCCUGAUCCAGCAAUGCCGCGUGUGUGAAGAAGGCCUUCGGGUUGUAAAGCACUUUUGUCCGGAAAGAAAUCCUUGGCUCUAAUACAGUCGGGGGAUGACGGUACCGGAAGAAUAAGCACCGGCUAACUACGUGCCAGCAGCCGCGGUAAUACGUAGGGUGCAAGCGUUAAUCGGAAUUACUGGGCGUAAAGCGUGCGCAGGCGGUUUGCUAAGACCGAUGUGAAAUCCCCGGGCUCAACCUGGGAACUGCAUUGGUGACUGGCAGGCUAGAGUAUGGCAGAGGGGGGUAGAAUUCCACGUGUAGCAGUGAAAUGCGUAGAGAUGUGGAGGAAUACCGAUGGCGAAGGCAGCCCCCUGGGCCAAAUACUGACGCUCAUGCACGAAAGCGUGGGGAGCAAACAGGAUUAGAUACCCUGGUAGUCCACGCCCUAAACGAUGUCAACUAGUUGUUGGGGAUUCAUUUCCUUAGUAACGUAGCUAACGCGUGAAGUUGACCGCCUGGGGAGUACGGUCGCAAGAUU
rnacentral:rRNA from 1 species